rnacentral:rRNA from 1 species
UAGGGAAUCUUCGGCAAUGGACGAAAGUCUGACCGAGCAACGCCGCGUGAGUGAAGAAGGUUUUCGGAUCGUAAAACUCUGUUGUUAGAGAAGAACAAGGACGUUAGUAACUGAACGUCCCCUGACGGUAUCUAACCAGAAAGCCACGGCUAACUACGUGCCAGCAGCCGCGGUAAUACGUAGGUGGCAAGCGUUGUCCGGAUUUAUUGGGCGUAAAGCGAGGGCAGGCGGUUUCUUAAGUCUGAUGUGAAAGCCCCCGGCUCAACCGGGGAGGGUCAUUGGAAACUGGGAGACUUGAGUGCAGAAGAGGAGAGUGGAAUUCCAUGUGUAGCGGUGAAAUGCGUAGAUAUAUGGGGGAACACCAGUGGCGAAGGCGGCUCUCUGGUCUGUAACUGACGCUGAGGCUCGAAAGCGUGGGGAGCAAACAGG